AACGUAGGAGACAAACGUUAUCCGGAGUUACUGGGCGUAAAGGGCGUGUAGGUGGUUUUGUAAGUCUGGCGUGAAAUUUCUCGGCUUAACCGAGGCAGGUCGUCGGAUACUAUAAGACUAGAGGACGGUAGAGGCGUGUGGAAUUCCGGGUGUAGUGGUGAAAUGCGCAGAUAUCAGGAAGAACACCCGUGGCUAAGGCGGUUCUCUAGUACGGUACUGACGCUGAGACGCGAAAGCGUGGGGAGCGAACAGG
rnacentral:rRNA from 1 species